UCGGGAAUUUUGGGCAAUGGGCGAAAGCCUGACCCAGCAACGCCGCGUGAAGGAUGAAGUAUUUCGGUAUGUAAACUUCGAAAGAAUAGGAAGGAUAAAUGACGGUACUAUUUAUAAGGUCCGGCUAACUACGUGCCAGCAGCCGCGGUAAUACGUAGGGACCAAGCGUUGUUCGGAUUUACUGGGCGUAAAGGGCGCGUAGGCGGCAAUUCAAGUCAUCUGUGAAAUCUCCGGGCUUAACUCGGAACGGUCAGAUGAUACUGCUUUGCUAGAGUGCAGAAGGGGCAAUCGGAAUUCUUGGUGUAGCGGUGAAAUGCGUAGAUAUCAAGAGGAACACCUGAGGUGAAGACGGGUUGCUGGGCUGACACUGACGCUGAGGCGCGAAAGCCAGGGUAGCAAACGGGGAUUAGAUACCCCAGUAGUCCCUGAGCGGGCUGGCAAGGCGCAU
rnacentral:rRNA from 1 species